AUUGAACGCUGGCGGCAUGCCUUACACAUGCAAGUCGAACGGCAGCGCGGACUUCGGUCUGGCGGCGAGUGGCGAACGGGUGAGUAAUGUAUCGGAACGUACCAUUGAGUGGGGGAUAACGUAGCGAAAGUUACGCUAAUACCGCAUAUUCUCUCCGGAGGAAAGCAGGGGACCGCAAGGCCUUGCGCUCUUUGAGCGGCCGAUUUCAGAUUAGCUAGUUGGUGGGGGAAAAGCUCACCAAGGCGACGAUCUGUAGCGGGUCUGAGAGGACGAUCCGCGACACUGGAACUGAGACACGAUCCAGCCUCCUACGGGAGGCAGCAGUGGGGAAUUUUGGACAAUGGGGGCAACCCUGAUCCAGCCAUGCCGCGUGAGUGAAGAAGGCCUUCGGGUUGUAAAGCUCUUUCGGCCGGGAAAAAAUCGCAUGGAUUAAUACUCUGUGUGGAUGAUGGUACCGGAAUAAGAAGCACCGGCUAACUACGUGCCAGCCGCCGCCGUAA
rnacentral:rRNA from 1 species